GAUGAACGCUGGCGGCGUGCCUAAUACAUGCAAGUCGAGCGAACAGACGAGAGUGCUUGCACUCUCUGCCGUUAGCGGCGGACGGGUGAGUAACACGUGGGUAACCUACCUAUAAGACUGGGAUAACUUCGGGAAACCGGAGCUAAUACCGGAUAAUAUUUAGCUUCGCAUGAAGCAAUAGUGAAAGACGGUUCUGCUGUCACUUAUAGAUGGACCCGCGGUGUAUUAGCUAGUUGGUGAGGUAACGGCUCACCAAGGCAACGAUACAUAGCCGACCUGAGAGGGUGAUCGGCCACACUGGGACUGAGACACGGCCCAGACUCCUACGGGAGGCAGCAGUAGGGAAUCUUCCGCAAAGGACGAAAGUCUGACGGAGCAAUGCCGCGUGAGUGAAGAAGGUGUUCGGAUCGUAAAACUCUGUUGUAAGGGAAGAACAAGUACGUUAGUAACUGAACGUACCUUGACGGUACCUCACCAGAAAGCCACGGCUAACUACGUG
rnacentral:rRNA from 1 species